rnacentral:rRNA from 1 species
CCUACGGGCGGCAGCAGUAGGGAAUCUUCCACAAUGGGCGAAAGCCUGAUGGAGCAACGCCGCGUGGGUGAAGAAGGUCUUCGGAUCGUAAAACCCUGUUGUUAGAGAAGAAAGUGCGUGAGAGUAACUGUUCACGUUUCGACGGUAUCUAACCAGAAAGCCACGGCUAACUACGUGCCAGCAGCCGCGGUAAUACGUAGGUGGCAAGCGUUAUCCGGAUUUAUUGGGCGUAAAGGGAACGCAGGCGGUCUUUUAAGUCUGAUGUGAAAGCCUUCGGCUUAACCGGAGUAGUGCAUUGGAAACUGGGAGACUUGAGUGCAGAAGAGGAGAGUGGAACUCCAUGUGUAGCGGUGAAAUGCGUAGAGAUAUGGAAGAACACCAGUGGCGAAGGCGGCUUUCUGGUCUGUAACUGACGCUGAGGUGCGAAAGCGUGGGGAGCAAACAGGAUUAGAUACCCCAGUAGUC